rnacentral:lncRNA from 1 species
UGAAUAUGGAAGGAGACAGCCAUCACUUCUAUGGCAGUCAUCCAGAUAGGCCAAGGAGUCACAGGGCGGAUGGGGACUGCCUAGGCUCUCCCUGGCCAAACACCAGGGCAGGCACAAGAACCCAUGUCUGAAUCGCCAGAACCCACGUGAAAAAACAAAACAGCAGCAGCAAACAACAACAACAAAACAACCAACCAAACUAAAAACCCAGGUGAUGUGGCACUCCCAAUAUCGGUGAAGCAGGGGUAAGAGGAUCCAGGAAGCUUCGUGGCCAGUCAGUAUUACUGACUCAUCGAGCUCCAGGUUCAUCGUGAGACACGGUCUCAAAGAAUAAGGCUGAGUGUGAAGAUCCGCCUUGCCACUUAGCAGUGUGUGAACUUGCUAAGCACCCCUGCCACCCUCCCAGAUCAUAUGCACAGCGCUGAUAGGAAAAUGCACUUCAGAGGGUUGUGAAGAGAACCAGAAUGUUCUCCAGGCUCCACCCAAUGCCAAGGGUCUAGCCAACAGACUGAGUUCCAGCUUCGCAACAGCAUCCUGACCAAAACCAGGUUUGUGUGGUCACCCUAUCCCAGCUCCUUCAGUCUCCAGGCAAACACUGCAGCACCUUUUUGCUUUGAGAACCGUGUCCUUCAUCUUGAAAAACCAAAGGCUGAGCUGGCACCACCGAGAGGCACUAGUAGAGUUAAUUAUCUGAGCCACAAAGAUCCAGAGGUACUAAGCGACAUCAGUAGUUUGUGACUAAGUACCAAACAUUCUUCCAUCUCAGCAUUGGCUCCCUGAUGGCAAACGUGGUGACGUAUGACUGGCCUUUAUUGUGUCUCAAAUACAGUCAAGCAGUG